rnacentral:lncRNA from 1 species
AUGUCGUGUUGAUCUCUCUUCACUGAUUCAGUGGCCAAACAAUUGGCAAAAUCGUUACAUUUUAGUUCAGGGUGAUGAUGUACGUUGCUGUUUCAGCUGCAACAAAUUUCGGAACCAGAAAUGGUGGGGAAAGGCAAAGAAAAGAAACCCAGUGACGCCAUACAUGGUUUAGAGUGGUUUUAUUAAGGCCACGCGGCCCAUUUUUCCAAAUUAGAGCUCCAAUUUUGAAAAUUCUGAUUAUGAAAUGACAAGGAAAUGCUUUGGUGCAUCUGUUAGUAAUUCUCCAGGUGCUGGCUGCAAAGCUCCAUUAACAGAUAUUGUUUGUUUGUUUGGUCGUCUGUUUUUUUGGGUGUAAUGUGGGGAAGAUCAUUGACUCUUUUUUUUGACAGAGGAAAAUGGAGCUUCUGGAGCUUGGAUUGGUAAAGGGCUCACUUGUGUGUGCUUCAAUAGGAAAGGAGUUUAUCAUCAGCGCAUCUUCAUCAACAUGACUCCUCACCAGGUACAUUAAGUCUGAGUUUUUACUCACUAUGUUGCUUGGU